UACAGAGGUCCCCAAGCGUUGUUCGGAUUCACUGGGCGUAAAGGGUGCGUAGGUGGUCGGGUAAGUCUGAUGUGAAAUCUCUGAGCUCAACUCAGAAACUGCAUUGGAUACUAUUCGGCUAGAGGAGUGGAGGGGGACGUGGAAUACUUGGUGUAGCAGUGAAAUAGCGUAGAUAUCAAGUGGAACACCAGUGGCGAAGGCGAGUCCCUACGACACUUCCUGACACUGAGGCACGAAAGCU
rnacentral:rRNA from 1 species